rnacentral:rRNA from 1 species
UUGAUCCUGGCUCAGGAUGAACUUUAGCGGCAGGCUUAACACAUGCAAGUCGAGGGGCAGCAUGUCCAGCAAUGGAUGAUGGCGACCGGCGGAAGGGUGCGUAACGCGUGAGCAACAUGCCCUAUACAGGGAGAUACACCAGGGAAACUUGGUCUAAUAUCCCAUAGCAUUCAUUGAAGGCAUCUUUAAUGAAUUAAAGCUUCGGUGGUAUAGGAUUGGCUCGCGUGACAUCAGCCAGAUGGUGAGGUAACGGCUCACCAUAGCAAUGAUGUCUAGGGGUUUUGAGAGGAAGGCCCCCCACACUGGGACUGAGACACGGCCCAGACUCCUACGGGAGGCAGCAGUGAGGAAUAUUGGACAAUGGAUGGAAAUCUGAUCCAGCCAUGCCGCGUGCAGGAAGACGGCCUUAUGGGUUGUAAACUGCUUUUAUACGGGAGCAAUAAGGGUUACGAGUAAUCCGAUGAGAGUACUAUACGAAUAAGGACCGGCUAACUCCGUGCCAGCAGCCGCGGUAAUACGGAGGGACCCGGCGUUAUCCGGAUUUAUUAGGUUUAAAGGGUGCGUAGGCGGAAACUUAAGUCAGUGGUAAAAGGCAGUAGCUUAACUAUUGUAAGCCAUUGAAACUGGGGACCUUGAAUGUAGUAGAGGUAGGCGGAAUGUGUAGUGUAGCGGUGAAAUGCUUAGAUAUAACACAGAACACCGAUUGCGAAGACAGAUUACUAUUCCGUUACUGACGCUAAGGCACGAAAGCGUGGGUAUCAAACAGGAUUCGAUACCCUGGUAGUCCACGCUGUAAACGAUGAUUACUCGUUGUUGGCAAUACAUCGUCAGCGACUAAGCGAAAGCAUUAAGUAAUCCACCUGGGGAGUACGUUCGCAAGAAUGAAACUCAAAGGAAUUGACGGGGGCCCGCACAAGCGGAGGAACAUGUGGUUUAAUUCGAUGAUACGCGAGGAACCUUACCUGGGCUUAAAUGUAGAGUGCAUAAGUGGGAAACUACUUUUUUCUUCGGAACUCUUUACAAGGUGCUGCAUGGUUGUCGUCAGCUCGUGCCGUGAGGUGUCGGGUUAAGUCCCAUAACGAGCGCAACCCCUAUCGUUAGUUGCCAGCGAGUCAAGUCGGGGACUCUAACGGGACUGCCGGUGCAAACCGCGAGGAAGGUGGGGAUGACGUCAAAUCAGCACGGCCCUUACGUCCAGGGCUACACACGUGUUACAAUGGCCGAUACAAAGGGCAGCUACCAGGUGACUGGAUGCUAAUCUCUAAAGUCGGUCUUAGUUCGGAUCGAAGUCUGCAACUCGACUUCGUGAAGCUGGAUUCGCUAGUAAUCGUAGAUCAGCAACGCUACGGUGAAUACGUUCCCGGGCCUUGUACACACCGCCCGUCAAG